CCUACGGGUGGCAGCAGUGGGGAAUAUUGGUCAAUGGGCGCAAGCCUGACCCAGCCACGCCGCGUGAAGGAAUAAGGCUUUCGGGUUGUAAACUUCUUUUCUCAGGGACGCAGCAAGUUACGGUACCUGAGGAAUAAGCCACGGCUAACUACGUGCCAGCAGCCGCUGGAAUCCGUAGGUGGCAAGCGUUAUCCGGAUUUACUGGGUGUACAGGGCGUGUAGGCGGGGACGCAAGUCAGAUGUGAAAACCACGGGCUCAACCUGUGGCCUGCAUUUGAAACUGUGUUUCUUGAGUACUGGAGAGGCAGACGGAAUGCCUAGUGUAGCGGUGAAAUGCGUAGAUAUGAGGAGGAACACCAGUGGCGAAGGCGGUCUGCUGGACAGCAACUGACGCUGAGGCGCGAAAGCGUGGGGAGCAAACAGGAUUAGAUACCCGGGUAGUC
rnacentral:rRNA from 1 species